UUUCCGUAGGUGAACCUGCGGAAGGAUCAUUAUUGUAUAACCGAGGUGCGAGGGCUGUCGCUGACCCGAAAGGUCGUGCACGCCCGAGUGCCCUACACACACAUCCAUCUCACCCCUAUGUGCACCACCGCGUGGGUCCCCCUUUGGCUUGUUCGGAGGGGGGCUUACGUUUUCACACAAACUUUGUAUGCAGUGUAGAAUGUAUUUUUUGUUUUUGCGAUCACGCAAUCAAUACAACUUUCAACAACGGAUCUCUUGGCUCUC
rnacentral:misc_RNA from 1 species